GGGGUUGUGGCUCAGCGGUAGAGCGCUCACCUGGCACGUGCAGGCCCUGAGUUCAAUCCUCAGCACCA
rnacentral:tRNA from 1 species